rnacentral:rRNA from 1 species
UACAGAGGUCCCGAGCGUUUGUUCGGAUUCAUUGGGCGUAAAGGGUGCGUAGGCGGCGGGGCAAGUCUGAUGUGAAAUCCCGGGGCUCAACCCCCGGAACUGCAUUGGAUACUGCCUUGCUAGAGUACUGGAGAGGGAACUGGAAUUUACGGUGUAGCAGUGAAAUGCGUAGAGAUCGUAAGGAAGGCCAGUGGCGAAGGCGAGUUCCUGGACAGUUACUGACGCUGAGGCACGAAGGCCAGGGGAGCAAACGGG